UGAACGCUAGCGACAGGCUAACACAUGCAAGUCGAGGGGCAGCACGGGAGUAGCAAUACAACUGGUGGCGACCGGCGCACGGGUGAGUAACGCGUAUGCAACCUACCUAUCAGGAGGGGAAUAACCCGGCGAAAGUCGGACUAAUACCGCAUAAAACAGGGGCACCGCAUGGUGAUAUUUGUUAAAGAGAUUCGCUGAUAGAUGGGCAUGCGUUCCAUUAGGUAGUUGGUGAGGUAACGGCUCACCAAGCCGACGAUGGAUAGGGGAACUGAGAGGUUGGUCCCCCACACUGGUACUGAGACACGGACCAGACUCCUACGGGAGGCAGCAGUGAGGAAUAUUGGUCAAUGGGCGGGAGCCUGAACCAGCCAAGUCGCGUGAAGGAAGAAGGAUCUAUGGUUCGUAAACUUCUUUUGCAGGGGAAUAAAGUGCAGGACGUGUCCUGUUUUGUAUGUACCCUGAGAAUAAGGAUCGGCUAACUCCGUGCCAGCAGCCGC
rnacentral:rRNA from 1 species